UACGUAGGGUGCAAGCGUUGUCCGGAAUUAUUGGGCGUAAAGAGCUCGUAGGCGGUCUGUCGCGUCGGCUGUGAAAGCCCGGGGCUCAACCCCGGGCCUGCAGUCGAUACGGGCAGACUAGAGUGCGGUAGGGGAGACUGGAAUUCCUGGUGUAGCGGUGAAAUGCGCAGAUAUCAGGAGGAACACCGGUGGCGAAGGCGGGUCUCUGGGCCGUAACUGACGCUGAGGAGCGAAAGCGUGGGGAGCGAACAGG
rnacentral:rRNA from 1 species